rnacentral:rRNA from 1 species
UCUGCCUACGGGACGCAGCAGGGGGGGAUAUUGCACAAUGGGGGAAACCCUGAUGCAGCGACGCCGCGUGAGGGAAGACGGCCUUCGGGUUGUAAACCUCUGUCGCAGGGGACGAAGGAAGUGACGGUACCCUGUGAGGAAGCCACGGCUAACUACGUGCCAGCAGCCGCGGUAAUACGUAGGCGGCGAGCGUUGUCCGGAAUUACUGGGUGUAAAGGGAGCGUAGGCGGGAGUGCAAGGUGAAUGUGUAAACUAUCGGCUCAACUGAUAGGAGCGUUCAAAACUGCA